rnacentral:rRNA from 1 species
CGUCUAUAUACGUAUAGCAUAUCAAUAAGCGGAGGAAAAGCAACUAACAAGGAUUCCCUUAGUAACGGCGAGUGAAGCGGGAAGAGCUCAAAUUUGAAAUCUUCAAGGUUCUACCUUGACGAAUUGUAGUUUAAAGAAGUGUUUUCUGUUAGAGGAGUAGGCAAAAGUUCCUUGGAAUAGGGACAUCAUAGAGGGUGAGAAUCCCGUAUUUGGUUAUUCUUUCUAGCUGUGUGAUACACUUUCAAAGAGUCGGAUUGUUUGGGAAUGCAGUCCAAAAUGGGUGGUAAAUUUCAUCUAAAGCUAAAUAUUGGCGAGAGACCGAUAGCGAACAAGUACCGUGAGGGAAAGAUGAAAAGAACUUUGAAAAGAGAGUUAAACAGUACGUGAAAUUGUCAAAAGGGAAGCGUUUGACACCAGUGUUGUUUUUCCGAAAAUCAAUUAAGAACGGCUUGAUUUUGUGUUGUAUUGACCUUAUCAGCUUUCUUCACUCUUUUUCGAGUCUUUCUUAAUGCACUUUUCGGUUAACAAGUCAACAUCAAUUUCUUUUGUUGUAAAAGGGUAUUUGGAAGGUGGCUUUCUUUUCGGAGAAAGUGUUUAUAGCCUUAUACCUCUACAAUCGGAGAGAUUGAGGUCUGCAGCGUAGAUCCUUCGGGGCUAGAUACACUUGUGCUAAGUUAUAGCUUUUCAUAGACAACUUGUUGACUAUGUUUAGUCAUGUAGCUUACUCGCUUGUGCUAUUUUACCUACGCUUAGGAUGUUGAGUCAUCACACAUCUCU